CGUCGGCGUGUUGCGGUG
rnacentral:miRNA from 1 species